GCCACUCCACGGGACUCAGACAACCCCCACCCAAGGCUUCCUGGCACCCUAGACUGGUCUGCUCUGCUUCCAGGAACCUCAGACUUGCCACACAGUCUCCCACCUGAGCCUGGCAUGAAAUCCCUUCCUCUAACCUGGCAUCCCCACUAGGUAGAAGAGAGCAGGAGGGGAUGGAUGCCAAGGGGGCCUCCAUCCAAAAUGCUGUAUUCAUGGACCAUGGGUGCCAGCAUGACCGCAUCCAUUCCCCUUUACCUGACCACCACUGAUCCAUCAUAUCAAGGAGUGGAAUGUGUACUCAACAGAGAAGCUACAAAGCCCUCUCUUGAGGGCCAUGCUGGUCCCAGGCCUUCCCUCACUGCUGACAGAGAUGACUUGGGAGACUAAAGCUAGCCCUGCCCCAUCCACCCACCUCAAGCCUGUGACCACCACCACCACCUCUGCCACCCAGGCUGAGGCCUGCCCCUGCCUCGUUUAUCUUUGUCAUGCGUUUGUGUUGCUGUUGCCUUGGGAACUUUCCAUGGAAAAUGUUUGGGUGAGGUGGGCAGGCUGACAGGCCAGGGCAGGCCGCAGACGCACUGUGGGUGGAUGGCUGGUGGACGCCUCUCCCAAGAGAGCUUGUCUGCCUCACACCCUAGGACGGCCCACCCUAUUCUACCUGCUCUCUUUUCUCAGCCCCCACCCCAGGCCAAGCACCAACACUGUUAAGCUCGACUUGUGAUAACUCUGACACCGAGAGAAGCUCGCCCAAGAGUUGCUCGCGAGGUUCCUGUGGCAGCUUGCUGCUUCAGUGGCCUUGCCUCAUGCCGGUUGGUGACCCUGGUGGUUUCUUCAGGAUUGAACUGCAGCUGCCUGGGGUCUGCUUGCCGAGAGGACUGGUCUGCAGCUGCUGAACCAUAUUUGGUGUUCGCUACAGGGCUGAAUUGCUGCCCGAGAAGAUCAAGCUCGCCCCUAAAUAACGAUGCAGGUCCACUUCCCCCCAUCCUAAUAACUUCUACUACCUCUGCUGGGUGGGAGGCAAAAGCAGACGUUGAACCCUUAUUAAAAGUAGGUUGCAAGAGACUUAUGCCUAUACCCCACCCAGGGGGCCCCCUGAAUAUUGCCCUUUGCCCUGCUGGUUCCAGCCCUCAGGAGGCCACAGCCCUGUCAUUAGGACAAGCAGCCACAAGCACGGGGACACACAUAGGACCUCACUGCAUGCUGAAUCUGGGGUGAAGUUCAGACUGCCAAGAGAAACACAGGCUGCAGCAGAUCUGCCACACAGCCCAAACCAGUCCUGGUCAGAGCAAUCCCCAUGAGUGGACACUCACAACACUUCUAAUGGUGGCCAGUGGUCAAACUGGACAGAGUUAAUACAGAUGAGCGAGCUCCCAUACGUUUAUGGGACCAUAGAUCCAGGAGACAGUGAUGGGCUUGGCUUUCUGCUGGCAGGAAGGCUGAGACGGCCAGGAGAGUUACCUAGGACUGUGGCCCAGGGUUGGGUGGUGUAGAGGUUUUCCUGUGCAAGGCUUCUGAUAUAAGGGUGUCUGAGCCCCUGGCGAUAGGAGUAGCAUGGGAAAGGCUAUAGCAGAGCUGACUCAGAAGUCCCUGAUGACAAGGGCGUACGUCAGCAGGAGUGGUUCUUUUUCGCAAGACACAAAACUUUCUAGGAAAGAAACCAUGAUAAAAGAGUGUGGUGCGGGGCUGGGGAUUUAGCUCAGUGGUAGAGCGCUUGCCUAGGAAGCGCAAGGCCCUGGGUUCGGUCCCCAGCUCCGAAAAAAAGAACCAAAAAAAAAAAAAAAAAAGAGUGUGGUGCUUUGAAUGAGACUAUACCUAAUAGGUUCAUAUACUUGAGUACUUGGUCAUCAGGGAGUGGAACUGUUGGAAAGGAUUAGAAGGAUGAGAAGGGAUGUCCUUGUUGGAGGAAGCGUGUUAAUGGGGGUGGGCGUUGAGGUUUCAAAAGCUCAAGCCAGGCCCAAUUAUCUCUCUCCCUUGGUCUGUGGAUCAACAUAGCUCUCAGCUACUGGUCCAGUACAAUAAAUGCUGCUGUGCUCCCCAUCAUGAUGAUAAUGGACCAAGCCUUUGAAAUAA